rnacentral:sRNA from 1 species
AGGCUCUUGCAGGAAGCAUUGCUUGUUAGGAGCCAUCCUGUGCUUUCAGGUGUCACAGAUUAGCAUGGGGAUGCAGGGUGGGAGACAGCAUCCUGAAGAGCAGGGGUAGGUGUGGCUUUGCCUGGGGCUGUGGCAGAGAGGAGAGACAUGCAGUUAUCAAAAGAGUCAGCUGUACUGUCUUUUUAGCUUUGCCCUGUGGACACUGGAACUCAGCUAUUUGGAGUUUCCAACAUCUCUCACAUCAGGUCCAAGGAGAACCUUUCCCUUAAUUUCCUCAGCUGCAGAAUGGGCUGCUGACUUCUCAGGGACUUUGAGGGAAUAACUUUCAUUUCAUUCACUCAGCAGUGCCCUCAUGUUUACUGUUUUCAAUGAGUAACAGUUGUCUCCAUUAGUUUGUGUUUGUUGUUUUGUAAUUCUGCCUUUUUUUUCCUCUCUCUCUAUCCCUACUCCAAACAGGUACCCUGUUUGCUUGUAUUGCUUUCUUAGAAACACUUGGAGGAGUCACUGCAGUUUCUACUUUUAAUGGAAUUUACUCAGCCACUGUUGCUUGGUACCCUGGCUUCACUUUCCUGCUGUCUGCUGGUCUGUUACUACUUCCAGCCAUCAGUCUAUGUGUUGUCAAGUGUACCAGCUGGAAUGAGGGAAGCUAUGAACUUCUUAUACAAGAAGAAUCCAGUGAAGAUGCUUCAGACAGGUGACUGUGAUUUAAACAAAAAAAAAAUCUAUGAAUGCACAUAUCAUAUACCAUGACUUCUGAAGACUAUAAAUGAAUUCCACAAUCAGUGCUUCACUGAGAACCAAUUUUACCUAUCUUUUCUUCUAAACUGAACAGUCAGAGAGACAGCUCCUGGCUUUAGCUUCUUGUGGUACCACGCACUUUGAGCACUUUGUGCGUAUCAUGCAAUAUACUUGCAAUAAACAGAACAAAUCUCAAAUACGCCUCACUUUUAGACUUCGAAGAGAAACAUUAAAACUUAAGGGUGUAAGGAGGGAUCAAGAAACUUGAUAAGGUCAAAAGCAAUAAUCUCUCUGACAUAUUCCAGGCUCUUACACUAAGACCAAAGAGAAAUCUUUACCUCAGUUUCUUCAUCAGCAGAAUGGGUUUCUGGCCUCUCUCAGGGAUAAUUUUGAAGGCAUAAUGAAAAUUAUGAUGAAUCACUCAUUGGUAGGAAAAUAAUGAUAUAAGUUUCAAAUAUGUAUAAUUUUACCUAUACUUGGUAAUGCUUUGUUUUAUAGAGCCUGUUAAGCUGCUAUUGAUAGUCGGAGCUUAUAUACUGUGACUUCUGAAGACUAUACACGAAUUCCACAAUCAGUGCUUUGUUGAUACAAAAUCCUUAAAAGGGAGGCACUUUAAAGAAUAUGUAUUUUUCACUUUUCUUAAUAUGUUUCAUCAGUGACAGGCAUGAUAAUAUUUCUAUAUGUAAUGGGUAAUUGGGAAAAAAUAGAUUAUAAAUAAAAUUGCUCUAAAGAAGUUAAAAAAUUGAAUGAACAGCUAAUACUGGUAUAAAGUAAUUAAUGUUUGGAGCCAACAUUUGUUCCUUGUGUCAGCAAAAGGAUAUUCACAUUCCAUGAUCCCUGGCUGAGAAUUCUGCCUCUAGUCUUUCUUACCCAGCUAUUGUCUAUCCUUGUUCAAUUAUAAAUACUGAUAAGGGCAUUUUAAAAAUACGAUCUUGUACUCCUUAAAUUUGAAUCCGUCAGCACUGUCACUCAUAGGAAAAUGAUCAAACAAGCAAGCCAGUCAUGAUUUGACCCCUUCCCAUCUCAUUUCUUACUGCCUUACGCUCAUCCUGAGGUCCACCUUGGUCUCUAAAAACACCAUGUGCUCUCAUGCCUCUAUGUCUUUUCACACACUGUUCCAUUUGCUCUUCCUCCCACAUUACAUUGAAACUUUCAAGCCUCAGUCAAAACAUUGCUUCUUCUGCAUAGCAGCCUUCUUGACAUCCCUCCUUACUCCCCAGUCCCUACAGGGCUUCCAUAGCUCUUUGUGUGUACUUCGAUCCCAGCAUUUUCCAUCGACUUGUAAUUGUUUCUGCUACCUGACAAACAUCGCCUUGAGUACUGGGACAACCUUUGAUUACUCAUUAUAUCCUCAAUAAAUAUUUGUUGAACUAAACUAAAUGACUACAAAA